rnacentral:misc_RNA from 1 species
GAUGAAGAACAUAGCGAAAUGCGAUAAGUAAUGUGAAUUGCAGAAUUCAGUGAAUCAUCGAAUCUUUGAACGCACCUUGCACUCCUUGGUAUUCCGAGGAGUACGCCUGUUCGAGUGUUAUGAAGCUCUCAAAACGCAAUUGGCUUAAAACCUGAUUGUUGUUUUGGAUUUGAACUUUGCCGUGUUAUAACGGCUGGUUUUAAAAGUAUUAGCUGGUACUAGAACGAAUUGGUUCUACUCAACGUGAUAAUUAUCUGAUCGUUGAGGACAUUCCUUUCACGAGGAAUGGCCAUAGUAAAUUCAAUGGACUGCUUCUAAUCUGGCUUUAAUUCUUUAUUGGAUUAACCACUUUUCAAAUCUGACCUCGAAUCAGGUGGGACUACCCGCUGAACUUAAGCAUAUCAAUAAGCGGAGGA